rnacentral:rRNA from 1 species
UCGGCGGUUCCCCUUCGGGGGACGAGGGUGACAGGUGGUGCAUGGUUGUCGUCAGCUCGUGUCGUGAGAUGUUGGGUUAAGUCCCGCAACGAGCGCAACCCUCGACCUUAGUUGCCAGCAUUCAGUUGGGCACUCUAAGGUGACUGCCGGCUAAAAGUCGGAGGAAGGUGGGGAUGACGUCAAAUCAUCAUGCCCCUUAUGACCUGGGCUACACACGUGCUACAAUGGGCGGUACAAAGGGUCGCGAACCCGCGAGGGGGAGCCAAUCCCAAAAAGCCGCUCUCAGUUCGGAUUGCAGGCUGCAACUCGCCUGCAUGAAGCCGGAAUCGCUAGUAAUCGCGGAUCAGCAUGCCCGCGGUCGAAUACGUUCCCGGGCCUU